rnacentral:rRNA from 1 species
UACGGAGGGGGCUAGCGUUGUUCGGAAUUACUGGGCGUAAAGCGCGCGUAGGCGGCUUUGUAAGUUAGAGGUGAAAGCCCGGAGCUCAACUCCGGAAUUGCCUUUAAGACUGCAUCGCUAGAAUCAUGGAGAGGUGAGUGGAAUUCCGAGUGUAGAGGUGAAAUUCGUAGAUAUUCGCAAGAACACCAGUGGCGAAGGCGGCUCACUGGCCCGAUACUGACGCUGAGGCACGAAAGCGUGGGGAGCAAACAGGAU